UUUUAUCCAUAUUGUCAUACGAUUUGAUAGCCCCUUGACGAUGCGUUGCGGAAAGAGAUUUAAGAUCAAAUUGUUGGCGCUAUGGUUGGACCGACGCGUUGACGUGUGAGUGGCCGUUUGAUUGUUUGUGUUGGCUGGCUCCCUGCUYGUGCAGCGAACUGUCGAUGCUACAUCUUUUCAGUCCCKAAGGAGGCGCGAUCUGCGCCUGCGAAUGUUGGAUUCUUGUGUUGCCUACCCAAUCGAAGGUAUUCUUCGUGUCC
rnacentral:misc_RNA from 1 species